UUUCAUAUUUGAACUUGUUUUCUUCACAUGUCCAUUUAGGAAUCUCAUAAGCUUGUGCCAUCUCCCAAAACAGUUCUUCCAUGCUGUAUGUUUUUCCCUAUUUUCAAUAUCAAUCUCAUCAUAACUCAGCUCUCACGCGAAUUCACCAACUAAGCCCAAUACAUCAUUAAACAGAGCAAGUGUACCCAUUCACGAGAGACACCAUUUCUUGAAC
rnacentral:lncRNA from 1 species